AGUGAGAUGAUGCAGUAUAGUGAUCUUACUGCCGCACUGCCUGGGUUCAAAUACCGAUUCCACCACUGCCUACUUGUGCGUCCUUGAGAAAGUUAAUAUCAUUGUGGUUCAAUUUCCGCAGCUAUAAAAUACAGAUUAAGUGUCUGACUACAAGGUUGUUAUAAGGAUCCAAUGAACUAAUAUUUCUAAUACACUUAUCAUAUAUGAGGGAAAAAAAAGAAUACAUAUUCCAAAUGCUUGCUUACUUGUUAAAGAAAUGAGUAGGCGAAUAUAGAUGAUAUGAUUCCUUACAACAGUGAUAAAGACUAAUGGAUAAGGUGCUAGACCCAAGAAACAGCAGACAAGAGUGACAGUAAAGAACAAGAUUUCAUGAAACUGGAGAAAAUAAUUUCUGCUUUCCUGUUCCAGAGAGGUAAGUGACACUGCUUUAAGUGACAGGAAACUGCAUUUUCAUUAAUACACUUGCAACACAGAGAGUGGACAUUAGGAAAACAAAUGGUUAUUAUAUUUAUACUAAGUAUUUAAGAAAUUGUUUAGCAUAUGAACUUGGGAUUAAAUAUUUCCCAACGUGGGCAUGCAUUUGCUUAUCACAAUAAAUUUCAAAACUCAGAGUGGAAUACAUGGGACUAGAAAUAACUUCAAAAAGAAUUUCUCGUGUUUAUUUAGCACAAGGCAGAAUUAAAUUUUAAUGUUGGAAAGACUCUCAAAAUAAAAUAAUAGCAAAGGACAAGUUAUUUAAUGCAUACUACGAAAUAUCUCAAUUUUUCUUAUUACAACCCUAAAAUGGUGGCAUCUCCAUUCUGCAAAUAAAGAAAAAGAAGCCAUGGAAGGGUAAGUGGUUUGCCCAAGCUCAAUGGCUAUGAACUGAGGGAGUUAGGAUUCAACUCCAGAGAUCCAAUUCUUAAACGUGGAGCUCUACUACCUCUUUUGAAUUAAUGCUUAUAGUAAUGCCACUCACUUCUAAGAAAACACUAUCUUAUGUCAUGGAGAAAAUGGAACAUGUCUCAAAAACAAUAUGUUGACAAAGGUGUAGCACUAAGAGAGUUGGUUCUUAAUUAUCAGAAAACUAUUUUUUUUAUCAUGCCAUUUAACUAGAUACUGUUCACUUUUUGUCUUUGAAAGAGCCAGUGCAGUUACUGAUAAAGGCAGUUUUAAUAAUUUUGGAUUAUGUAACAUUUUACAAUUUACUUUAUGAAGUACUUCAUUUUCAUCUUUAUGGAUUAUGCUGUAAAUUCUCUGAAUUCAUGCUUCACUUAUUUCCCCAAGUCUCAGCCUCCUUAAAUUUUACCUUAUGAUUUUCGUAUGUGAGAUCAUUCACCUGAGGACUCUGUUCUCUAGCCUUAGGCUAAAUUAGCCUUAAGUCCUUAAAUUUCACUGGAAAACUAUCUCCCAAAUUAAUAUCCCCAAAGCACUUAAGCCAAAAAUUGAUUUUAUUCUACUUCCUGUUAAGUUACAUAGAUUAUGCUGCAAAAUUAAACAGGGUUUUAAAAUUAUAUGUAUUACUAGAAUUCCCUAACUAAUAUAAACUAGAUUACCUCUUGCUUCACUUUGCCCAUUGCCCCUUAACCACUUGCAAAGGAACACUGAAGCAGUUCAAUUUUAAUAAAUCUAUUAACACAGAAAAAAAGGUGAAAAUACAUUCAUUUAUCUUGAUUUUCACCUUUUUUUUCAGAGUUUAAGCUAUCAACAUGAGAUGUGUUAUUGUGAGGGUUUAAUGAUUUGUUAGUUUUCAAAUGAAAACUCUUUGAGACCUUUUACAAAUAAAUGGAAAUUUAGGCAGGAACAGAAGGAACACCAGAUGGGAGUCUCUCAAGAGGUGUCCUCAGGGACAUUACAUGAAAGUGAGGUGAAAUGAUAUUAGGUGAGCACACUAUAAUAGAAUUUCUGACUGAGAUAAUAUUUUAAUAUAAAGAAUAUGUGUGUAAUUCAUACUCUGAAUAAGUAGUAUAUCAUACACAUUAUUUAGUAAUAUAUAAAAUAUAUAAAUAAUAUUAAAUAUGAGUAAUAUUAAUAUGAAUAUUAAGUAAUAACAUAUAAUAAUAUACUAAUAUACUAUAUAGUAUAUAAUACAUAUUAUAUAAAGUAUAUCUGAUAUGUAAUAUUUAUAACAUAUAAUGUAUAUAAUGGAAUAUAUACAGCAUAGAGCCAUAGCACCUUGAACUAGAAUAGACUUUUAAAAAUAAUAUAAUCCAAGAUCACUGUUUAUAGAUGAGUAGUUUGAGGCACAUAAAUUUCAAGUAAUAGUCAACAAUAUAAAAAACUCAUAAUUUUUUAGUAGACAUGAUUGAAAAUCAAGUGUACUUAUUUGAAGUCUAAUAUAUUUUCCACCAAUCCAAGUUGUUUCUUGAAGAAGCAUAUAGAUAUGUAUAAGAUAAAUAUUUUUUCUCCAUGUAGGACUAUUUGCCAAUCUGAAAUAUUUUUUGUGGUUGCUCCUGGAGAGGUUAGAGAGCAUUACAUUAUAGUUAUCAUGCUAUAGAUAAGAGAUGCUAUAGGGGUGCCUGGGUGGCUCAGUUGUUUAAGCGUACGACUUGGACUCAGGUCACGAUCUCACAGUUUGUGGGUUCAAGCCCUGCGUUGGGCUCUGCGGUGACAGCUCAGAGCCUGGAGCCUGCUUUGGAUUCUGUGUCUGCUCUCUCUGCCCCUCCCCAACUUGUGCUCUAUCUCUUUCAGUCUCUCAAAAAUAAAUAAAUAUAAAAACAAAAAAAAAGAUUAAAAAAAAAGGUACUAUAGAUAAAGAGUUUGGCUUGAGUAACAAAAAGCUAUGGAAUGUGCUUAAUAUAUAUGUGCCUGGGAUAUGACCCUGUAAAUAGAAUAAAAGUGUUUUGAUAAAUUAACUAGAAUAAAAUUAAUUAAUUAAUUAAUUAGAAUAAAAUUGAUUUGCGGUGGGAUUCUGGUAAAUGGUCACCUCAUGUGGAACUGACUUUGGAAACCAAAUGGCUUUAUCUGGUUUCCUCUUCACAUUCACACACCUCACUUCUUUUCAAAUUCAAUGCCAAUAUUUCUUAAAGCUGAGUGGUAUACAUUUUUCAAAGAAAAAAUGUUACAGAACUCUUCAAUAUUAACUUAAAAACACUUUUGGUAAAACAUUACUACUUUACACACUUUAUGGAAAUAUAAAAUCAGAGGAGGGAUAUCAGCAAGAUCCCAGAGUAGGCUUCCUACUCUGGAGUCUCCUUUCUCCCACAUACACACUGUUUGAGCAACCAUUAAUAUAUAUAUUUCCUUUGUGAGAAAUCAGAAACUAAUUGAAGGCUCCUUUACCCUGGGGAAAGGUAAAACCAGAUUUACUGAAACCAGUAGGUCGAUUCUGGACACCCUCUCAGGGAGAUAUUGCCUUUGGCAUAGUGGUAUACAAUCAGGAAGAGACUCUCUAGCUCCUAGCUUCACUCAGAGGUCUACAUGUCCAGUAUUCUGCACUUUCUUUCUUUGGUUUGUUUGUUUUUAAUUUUUGUAAUGUUUAUUGAUUUUUGAGAGAGAAAGAGACAGAGAGCAAGUGGAGUAGGGGCAGAGAGAAGGAGACACAGAAUCCAAAGCAGACUCCAGGCUCUGAGCUGUCAGCAUAGAGCCUUAUGUGGGGUUCGAAUGACCUGAGGAUUUCUAUAGAAGUUAUAUACAAGAAAAAGAGAAAGGAAUCGAAGCAUAUAACACAAAAAAUACAAAGCAUAAAAAACAAAAAAUCAACAAAACACAAAAGAAGACAAGAGAGGAAAAAAUAGAGAAAAGAACUACAAUACUAACAAAAAGCAAAUAAGAAAUGGCAGUAAAUUCUUCUCUAUCAAUAAUCACUUUAACUGUCAACGAAUUAAAAAUCCUCAUUCAAAACACAAAAUCAACAACAGUGAGCUGGUUUUUUUUGAAAAGAUAAAAUUGGCAAACCCUUAGCUAAACUAACAAAGAAAAGAUGACUCAAAUAAAUAAGAUCAGAAAUGAAAGAAGAGACAUUACAACUGAUGCCACAGAAAUAAAAAGGAUAGUAAGAGAAUAUUAGCAAUUAUACGCCAACAACCUGGAUAGUCUACAAGAAAUAGAUAAGCUCCUAGAAAUAUACUACCUAUCAAAACUAAAUCAUAAAGAAAAAGUCUGAAUGAACAAAUAACUAGUAAAAUGACUGAAUUAGUAAUCAAAAACGUUCCAAAAAGAAAAUCCUAGGACAAGAUAUAUUCACUUUAACUUCUACAGAAUAUUUGAAGAAUUAACAUCAAUUCUUCUCAAACUCUUCCAACAAACUGAAGAGGGGGGAACAAUUCCAAACGUGUUUUAUGAGGCCACCAUUACUCUGACAUGAAAGCCAGUCACAGACACUACAAGGAAAACAAACUACCUGCUAUAUCCCUGACAUAGACAGAUGCAAAACUCUUCAACAAAAUACUAGCAAACCAAAAAGGAUCAUCUACCAUGAACAAAUGUGAUUAAUCUGUAGGAUGAAGAAUAGUUCAAUAUACAAAAACCAAUUAAUGUGAUAUAUCACCUUGAAAGAAUAAAAGAUAAAAAUCAUACAAUCAUCUCAAUAUAUGCAGAAAAAGGAUUUGACAAAAUCCAAUGCCAUUUCAUGAUAAAAACACUAAAAAAAACAAGGAGUAGAAGGAAAUCACUUCAACAUAAUAAUAACCAUACUUGACAGGCUUGGCGCUAACAUCUUACUCAAUAGUUUAAAAUUGAAAGGCAUUCAUCUAAGAUCUGGAAUAAGACUGGGAGGCCUACUCUUGCUACAUCCAUUCACCGUAGUACUGGAGUUUUAGCCAGAGAAAUUAGGCAAGGAAAAGAAAUAAAAGGCAUUCCAAUCAGAAAGGAAGAAGUGCAAUUAUCCCUGUUUUCAGACAACAUAAUCAUAUACAGAGAGAAAACCCUAAAGAUUAAAAAAAAAAUAGAACUAAUGAGGUCAACAGAGUUGCAGGAUACAAAAUCAACAUAAAUAGUUGGUUGCUUUUCUAUACACUAAACAAAAUCUAUAUGAACAGGAAAUUGGAAAAAUAAUCCCAUUUAAAAUAGCACCAAGAGGGGCACCUGGGUGGCUUAGCCAAUUAAGCAUAGAACUUCGGCUCAGGUCAUGAUCUCGGUUUGUGUGUUUCAGCCCUGCAUUGGACUCUGUGCUGACAGCUCAGACACUGGAACCUGCUUCGGAUUCUGUGUCUCCCUCUCUCUCUGCCUCUCCCAGGCAAUCUCUUUGCCCCUCCCAGGCGCGCUCUCUCUCUCUCUCUCUCUCUCUCUCUGUCUCUCUCUCAAAAAUAAACAUUAAAAAAAAUAAAUAAAUAAAAAAGCACCAAAAGAAUAAAAUACCCAGGAAUAAACUUGCCUGAGAAGGUAAAGACUUGUUAUAAACAAAACUACAAAACACUGAUAAAAGAAAUUAAACAAAAUACACACAAAAAAUGUAAAGACAUCCAUAUUAUAACAACAGAUUAUUAGAUUUCAUAUUGUUAAAAUGUCCAUAUUACCCAAAACAAUCUAUGGAAUCUAUAUUCAAUGCAUUCUCUAUCAAAAUCCAAAUGGUAUUUGUGGGUUUCUUUUUUCAGAAAUAAAAUAAACAUUUCAAAAUUCAUAUGAGGGGCACCUAGGUGGCUCUAUUGGUUAAGUGUCCAACUCUUGAUCUCAGCUUAGAUCAUGAUCUCACAGUUCAUGGGUUCAAGCCCCACAUCAGGCUCUGCACUGAUGGCGCAGAGCCUGCUUGGGAUUCUGUCUCUCUUCUCUCUGCCCCUUAGCUGCUUGUGCUCUAUCUCAAAAUAAAUAAAUAAACUUAAAAAAUUAAAAAUAAAUAAAAAUUCAUAUGAAACCACAAAAGACCAUGGAAAGCCAAAUCAAUCUUGAAAAAUAACAGAGCUGGUGGCAUCACAAUUUCUGAUUUCAAAUUACAUUACAAAGAUAACAGUAAUAGUAACAGUAUGAUACUGAUAUAAAGACAGUCAUGUAGAACAAUGGAACAGAAUAAGAGAAUUCAGGAAUAAAUCCAUGCAUAUGCAAUUAGCUGAUCCUAAACAAGAAUACCCAGAAUGCACAACAGGAAAAGGAUACUGUCUUCAACAAAUGGUACUGGGAAAACUAGAUAUCCACAUGUAAGCAAAUAAAACUGGACCCUUACCUUAUACCAUAAAUAAAAAUUAAUUCAAAAUUGAUUAAAAACAUAAACUUAAGACCUUAAACUAUAAAACUCCUAGAAGAAAACAUUAGGGAAAACAACAUGACAUUGGUUUUGACAAUAUUUUCAUCGAUAUGACACCAAAAACACAGGCACCAAAAGCAAAAUAGGUAAGUAACUAUAUCAACUAAAAAGCCUCCAUACAGAAAAGGAAAAAAUCAACAGAAUUAAAAGGCAAUCUAUAAAAUAGGAGAAAAUAUUUGCAAACUAUAUAUCUGAUAAGGGGUUAAUCUCCAAAAUACAAAUGGAACUCCAACAACUAAAUAGUUAAAAAAGCUAAUAACCCAAGUUAAAAAAUAAGGCUUUUGAAUAGACAUUCUCCAAAGACAUACAAUGGUCAACAGUAUAUGAAAAAAUGCUCAUAAUCACUAAUCAUCAGGAAAAUUGCACACCAAAACCAAGAGAUAUCAAGAUACCAUCUUAUACCUGUCAGAAUUAUAUAGAUACAUAUAUAUGUAUAUAUAUAUACACAUAUAUAUGUGUAUAUAUGUGUAUGUAUUUUAUUUACAUAUGUAUGUAUAUAUAUGUGUGUAAAUGUGCAUGUGUGUGUGUAUGCCACAAAUGUUGGUGAGGAUGUGGAGAAAUCAGAACCCUUGUGCAUUGUUGGUGGAGCACAAAAUGGUGCAGCUGCUAUGGAAAGUAGCAUGGAGAUUCCCUCCCAAAUUAAAAAUGAAACUACCAUAUAAUCCUGCAAUCCCACUUCUGGGUAUUUGUUCAAAAGAAUUGAAAUCAAGAUCUUGAAAAGACCUAUAUUCAUAGAAGCACUGUUCACAAUAGCCAUGAUGUGUAAAUAAUUUAAAUGUCCACUGACAAACCAAUAGAUAAAAAAAGGAAAUUCUGUAAUAAGUGACUACAUGGAUGAAACAGAGGACAUCAGGCUAAGUGAAGGAGUCCAGGCACAGAAAGACAAACGUUGAAUGAUUCCACUUACAUGAGGCAGUAUAUGUCUCCUUGUAUUCAAGUAGAAGAAUUUCACCAGUGUGUAUCCCUAAACUGGAAAAUUUUGUUUAGGAUAUGAACAUCUUCCACUUUAUAGAUGAUACUAAAAAGGAUUUUCAAUGCAGAUUAAAAAUGUACUAAACUGUCUCACUGCAGGUGCAAUCUUCAUGCUUGUUAUAAUAGGAAGCAAAUGUGCAGCUAGAUUCUCUCCUUUUGCCAAGGGAAAACAUUGGUUCUUAACAGAAUGCUGACAAUAUUCCUUCAUUCACCAUCAUGAGCUUAAAUAGAGGUAGUCAUUUCUCUUAUGAGUUUAUCAAUGCUUUACAUGUCAGAAAAACUAAUAGAUGGUUGUCAGCCCUUAUUCUUUAUAGAUCCUAUUUUAGCAGGGUUGAACAGCUCCUCUUUCUUGAAACUUGCUCUUCUUCUGCAUUCUAUGAUUACAGCACAUUUUCUCAGUUGUGCUCUUAAUUCCUCAGCCUACUUUGCUGUUGGAUACUUAAUUACCUUCUCAGUCUUCUCCAGGACUUUGUUCUGAUUCUUCUCUUCUUUCUCCUCCCUCUCCCCUGAGGUUAUUUUAUCUAGUCACAUGUACUUGUUUAUUAUUUUUCUCAUUCAUUUAUUUAUUUACUUUUAACUUUUAUUUAUUUAUUUUGAGAGGGGGUAGGGGCAGAGAGAGAGGGAGAGAGAGAAAAUCCCAAACAGGCUCUUCACUGUCAGCAUGGAGCCCGACAUGGGGCUUGAACUCACAAUCCGCAAGAUAAAUUGUUUUUAUUAGUGAUUGACUUGAAUGUGAAAAAAGAACUAUCAUCUUUAUAGAACAUAUUUUACAUUAUCAACUUUUGAAGAAAGAAAAAAAUAUCCACUAAGGGGUUAGCAAUAGUAUCUAUUUGUAUAAUUAUCUUAUUUCCUUUAAUCUUUUGAAAAUUUUUCUUUCAUCUUUUGAAAAAUUUUUCCCCUGGUGUGUUUCAAUUUAUUUCUGACUGAUUACCUAGUAUUCAUAUAACAUAUUACCUGAGCUGAAACCAAGAGUUGGAUGCUUAACUGACUGAGCCACCAGGCGCCCCUCAUCUGGUCACAUGAAUUUAAAUGCUACAUGCUGAGAAUUCCCUGAGUUAUGAACACAAGUGUUACCUUGUUCAUUCUUGCAAGCCUCACAGAUACCUCACUUGAAGUGUCCAAACUAAUAAUCUUCUCAUUUCCCCCAAAUCUGUUCUCCCAGUUUUCCUCAUCUUAGUAAUGGAUCCAUCGUUUUGUUGCUUAAGCCACCUGAAGCCUUAGAUUCAUGCUUGAUGUCUCCUUCUGACUUCCUCAUAGGUUCAUGAAUGCAGACUUGCAUGUAUUUUUUUUUCUAUAUUUUCUAAUGAGAUAAUUAGGGUGAGGUAGAUACAAUGGUAAAUAUAAGCCAGUGUUUUUGAAUAAAUGGAACUAUGAUUAAAUGUACACAGAACUUUUCAAAACUAGAAGCAAACAUAAAUAGAGGAAUUCAAGAGAGAUCCUUAAAAUGUUGGAACCAUAUAGAUUAAGAAAGGAUCUAGAGUAGGGACAGACUCAGAGAUAGGUCCUCCCCAACUCCUGGCAGCAUUUUGCACAGAUAUCAAGAAAUAGAGGCAAAAGUGAUAAAGAUAUGGGUCAGAGCAAAAAACGGAAGAGCAGUUUGCAGAGGAAGGUGGAACUGUGGGAGGAGAAUCUGUCUUCGUGUUGAGUAGGAGCCAGUUUUUGCAGUACAAUUGAGCGAGGCUCAGUCCACAGUGGAUUAUUGCUUAAGAAAGGCAUGUCCUUGUAUGGGAAUAAAUUAAAAGUGAGUCUUAUAUGUGCAAGGAAUGAGAAAUAAUUCUCAUGGGUCUUCAUCUGAAAAUUUGUUGAUUUGUUGCCAAAUGCCACCGAUGGCAAAAUAGACAGCUAAGGGCUUAAAUGGCACUGUUGCAGACAGGCCGAAUGAAUAAGUGAAUGACUUAACACAUAACCUCCAGAAGAAGCAAUGGGUUUUGAAAUGUUGCAAUGCAACUCUUAUGUCUCUAUUAUUUUGCUUAUGCUUAUCAGAGAUAUACGUUACAUAUAUGCUUAUUUAAAACACUUUUGCUUAUUAUAGAGUGAUUUUCUUUUUAAGAUCAAAUGGACAGAAAAUAAGGUCAAGGUAGAGAUUAACGGUUUUGUUUUGUUUUGUUUUUCACCAUUUACCCAACCCAAGAGGGCUGAACGUGGCCAUCUUUUAAAAAUUUUUUUCACUGGUGUGUUUCAAUUUAUUUCUGAUUGAUUACCUAGUAUUCAUACAACAAAUAUCUUGGAAGAGCUCAGAAAGGUGGACAAGCAUCCUCUCUAAUAGUCUAUCAUAAACAAUUUACUGAGGUGUCAUUUCCUCUUUAAAUUGAUAAUGAAUUGUGAUGAGUAAUAUAAACUACCAAAAUAUUUUAACAGAAAGGGAAAUAUAGAUAACUGAGGUGACUUUUUCAUUUAUUCUUCAGGAAUCAAUCACAACUUCCAAAGGAGAAUUCUGUCAUUCUGUGUUAGAUUAUUAAUUUAACAGUCACUUUUUUGGCCAAAUGAUUUUUUUUUUAAUUUUUUUUCAACGUUUUUUAUUUAUUUUUGGGACAGAGAGAGACAGAGCAUGAACGGGGGAGGGGCAGAGAGAGAGGGAGACACAGAGUCGGAAACAGGCUCCAGGCUCUGAGCCAUCAGCCCAGAGCCCAACGCGGGGCUCGAGCUCACGGACCGCGAGAUCGUGACCUGGCUGAAGUCGGACGCUUAACCGACUGCGCCACCCAGGCGCCCCAUGGCUAAAUGAUUUUUAUAGAAGAUGAUUGACAGGGUUUUUUGUAAAAGUGAAUGGCUUUAUAGCAGAUUAAUUAUUGAAUAUGUAAAUCAAUGUUUUAAACAUACAAAAAGUAGAUAAUACUUAUUUGCUUUACAAAAGUAUUCUUAUUUUCUCAAGGGAUUCACUUAAAAUUUUAAUAAUUAUUGGACUCAUCUAUUAUGUUGAAAUUAAAAAUUAAAAUGAAUAUUUAGAUUCUUUAAUCAAUCAUUGUUAUGAACUCAGAGUCUGUGUCCCUCUAAAAUUCACAUUAAAAUCCUAGUCCUCAAUAAAUUGGUAUUAGGAGGAGGAGGAGGUCUUCAGGAGGUGAUUAGGUCAUGAGGGUGGAGCCCUCAUGAAUGGGAUUAGUGCCCUUACAAAAGAGAUCCCAGAGAACUCUCUCACUCUUUCUGCCAACGUUGAGGACACAGUUAGAAGACAGCAGCUGUCGUCUAUGAACCAGAAAAGGGGCCCUCACCAGACUACAACCUGCCAGCACCAUGAUCUUGGACUUCCCAACCUUCGUAACUAUGAAAAAUUAAUGUUUAUGGUAUUUUUGUUAUAGCAGCCCAAAUGGAUUAAGAUAGUCACUGAGUCUUCAAAAAUUCCUAUCCUAUAUAAAAGUAUAUGCUACCAUAAAUUCUGUUUUAAUAUUAGUGGUUGACUUGAAUGUGAAAAAUAACUAGCAUCUUUACAGAACACAUUUUGUUUUCAAUUUUUGCAGAAAGAAAAAAAAUCCUCUAGAGGAUUAACAAUAAUAUCUCUUUGUAUAAUUAUCUUAUUUCCUUUUAUAUUUAGCAAAGAGAAAAGUUGGUACCAUUGUAACUUGGUUUGUGCUUUGUUAAAGAAUUAAGGCUUGGUGUCCUUAAGCAACUUAGACCCAAGGCAGGAGCGCAUGCAUUGAAAAGUAUAAAACAAUUAAUGCACUACUAAGGAAAAGUGUUUUCCUACACCAGAGAGGGUGCAUUUACUCUCGGACUUUGGAAGUUAUCAUCAUUUACGGUCCUCAGGGAGAAACAGAGUUUUUCACACUUCAGGCACAAAACUGAAAAUGCCUAACUGUUUCAUUCUCUCCUCCCUACUGAGCUCUGUGUGUUUUUGUUAAAGGAAACAUUAAACAACUUGUCAGCAUAUACGCAUUGGAUUAGGGGCUCUGAUUACGUGGAGGGGCUCUAGCCAGUACAGAAAGACAUUACUGGAAACUUAGAGGCAAGAGAAUAAGUGUAACUUAGUACUUACUGGCUUGAAGACUCAACUAUAGUUCUCUUUCUUAGUGUUUAAUACUGCAAACCUGUUGUUUUUAAUUUUCUGAGUACUGACAACCCACUGUGCUUAAACAGCAGCUCUUAAUCAGAACACAAUAAUUAGAUAGUUACAGCCUGCAUGAUACUUAGAUAUUCAAAGGGGCCAUACUGCACAGAAACAAGUUCACAAAGUUGUUUCUGUUUUCUGAUUCAUAUGAUUUCUCUUUAAGUAUUAUCAUAGACAUUUUAUAUUUUGCUUGUAUCAAUCAUUCAAUAUAUAGCAAUUUAAGUGAAUGUCACACACACAUAACACACGUAAGUACUAUGAGAGAGUAACAGUAUAAGAAUAAAAAUUCAAUAAGGAACUGACAUAAAAUCUUCCAAAUACAGGAACACAGCAUAUUUAGCAAGGAGGGAAAAGUUGCUUAGUUAGCAGUCCCUUUAAUUUCAAGGUAACUUCACUGGUCUACACACAAAUUUCUCUAAAUUGAUUGUGACAAAUGUCCAGUUGUUCUACAUCACAAAAUGAGAAUCAAGUUUUUAUGAGAGUAUCCCUUAGUUAAUGCUAAUCCUUUCUAACAAAGGUUUGAAUGACAAAGUCUUCAGAAUAUAGUCAGUUAUUACCUAUUUCUGCAACUCUACUUUGAUACUCUGUCCUCCCCUAGAUAACUACCUUUCUCUGUUUAUUAAUAAGCUUCUAGAAACAGUAAUCAAAAAUAUUGCUUCUUCCAUUUAUUCUUCCUUAAAAAGUUAAUUUUUUUCCUGCUCUUAUUGUUCUUCUGAAACUGCUGGUUGACCUUUUGUAGCUUUGGUAUUGAACAUAUAUACUCCUUUUGGAAACUCUGUCUUUGUGACAUAUUUCCCCUUGUUCUAUUACCAAUUCCUCUACCCUUUAACCGUUUUUGGGUGCCCCUCUUCUUUAGCCCACUCUUAAAUUGCUGAUCUCCAAUAAUUAAUCCUCUCUUCUCUCAUUCUACAAAAUCAAUCCAAUCAGUGAUCGUGGCUUCCACCAUCACAUGUAUAAAGACUCCCAUAUUCAGGAUCUCUUAAAAACUCAAGGCCCAUAUUUCAAAUGACUUACUCUGUAUCACAAUGUCCCAUUGAUAGGAUGAUAUGCAACAGGAAUGUACUGAUGCAAUGGGUUGAUGAAUUAGCGGUCAUGGCAAACCAGCUGGUAAUAUUUGAAAAUCAUCUCUACCAAAAAUUAAUGCAAAUGUAAAAAUGAAUUUCCAUCUUUAUAAAUAAUCUUGUGAUCCCCAUCUUUUUUAAGACACUAUGCAUUCUCUGCUUACAUAAGACAAACUGGUAAUUCAAAUUCCACUUUUUCCAUUUUUUUCCUAUAAUUAUUAUGAGCUCGAUAGCUUUCAUAGUCAUCCUCUCACCCUUACUGUCACAACACCAUUUCUUGUUUAAUUGUUGCUAUUACCUAACUUUAUCAAUUCUUGACCUGUAGUCUAAAUACCUCCAAUCCUAUACUUCAGGUGCUUCAGAGUAAAAACUAUUAAAGAUCACUACUUGUUCAAACUUCUUAAAUGGCUCCUACAGGCACCAGUAUAAAAACAGAUAAUAUUUUCUAUUUUAUACAGGAUCCAUGAUGCUCAGACUCCUGCCUUUUCCAACAUCAAGUCUUCCUUCUGCUCAUUUCACAUCAAACUCCAUGCCUCCACAAUUAGUGAGUUAUUUCCACUCCCACUCCCCCUCUCCUAGGUCUUUCCAUUACCUAAGCCUGAGUGUGUGACAUUUUGUCUGCCUGGAAUGACAGCCUACAUAUUACUUACCUGGUAGGCACUUAAUCAUCCCUCACAUCUAUGCCUAACUACAAACCCCCUUAUUCCCCUAGGGAAACUAGGAGGUUUUCUUUUCUAUUUUUCUAUACUGCUCCUGUAUCCUCAACAGAGUAAUAGCUCCUUGAGUCUUGAGAACUUGCAGUUAAUUAAUCUGUGCCCACAAAUAUUAAAUUCUAUAUGAGAACUCAUCUUUUACUUGGGAUGUAUAUAUACAUAAAUAUAUAUAUGUGUAUAUAUAUAUGACUAAAGAUUCAUUUAUGUAAGUUUUUUGUAAUCCUAUCAUCCAUUCUUUAAUUGAUCAUACAUUUACAAGAUGUUUUAUGGACACCUACUAUGUGACAGAAACUGUCCUUGCCUUGAGGUAUAAAAAGGUAAACAAAACAGAAAUGUGUUAUUCUUAUAGAGCUUAUAGUCUUGUUGUAUCUAGGAAAAAGUCAGUGAAGUGCAUUACUAUAGAAAAAGUCACAAAAAGUCUAAUGGAGUAAAGCUGAAUUUAAAAUAACGUCUGCAUGCUUACAGAUAAAGAAUUCCCUUAUUUCACUGAAGGCAUAUGCAUCAACUAUGCAAGUGACUUUUGUUCUUUAUGUAAAUUUGCUUUGAAUUUUUUUUUAGCUUACCAAUAGUAGAUUUAUACCCAAUUUAUAUUACUUGUGGGGCUUCAAAAUAACAGCAUUUUAGAUCUCCAGUAUUUUAAAAUAGUAUGUUCACAUAAGUAAAGCACAAUUGUAAAUACAGUAAGAGAAAAGAUGUAAUAAGCUAUUGGUACACUUAACAAGCAACCCUAAAUUGUGAAAGUAAUUCUCCAUAAUAACGUAAAAUGGAGCCAAUGAUCAAUAACAUUUAAGUCAGCAUGAAAGCUCUUAUCCAAAAAUAUAGGUUAAUAAUGAAGACAAUAAGCUAAUUAUCUAAAUGAAAAUUUAGAGAAUGGGUUGGCAUAUGCACAAACCUCUGCAGAGAACAUUUUUACAUUUUAAAAACCCAAUAUGAAGUGGAGACUGGGAAUGGUCGUCCAGAUCCAUUUCUUGAAUCAGAUUUGUGGUGUGUUCUUGAGCCGACCACUCAUAUAUCCAAGGAAAUCACUAGCAUAGGAGUGAACAAAAGCCCAUAUGUUUAAAAUUAUCAUUAAGUAUAAUGCACAUGUAUAGCCAUAAGAUGGGAAAGCAGCCUGACAACCAAAGCAAUUCUGUACAAUGAGAACAGUAAACUUUUAGUAUGCUUCAGUAGGAUAUCUUAGUAGAAUUGUUCAUGCUCUCUUUUCAAAACCAUGAAGACAGCUCCAUCAACUAGGAAACUUUUCUAAAAUUUUCCAAUCUGUUUUUCAUACAAUGACAUAAUAAAUAUAUUUUAAGAUAUCAAUAGAAAUACCUGGUUUGUUCCACGAAGAUAUGGAAAACCACCAAUAAAGACAGAUCCUGAUUCUGGCAAGGGUUUUCCAGAUACGUGAUUGAUAGAUUCACUUGUUUUCAUAGUCCUUCCUAAAAUAGUCAGUUCAGCUCUACAUGGAUCAAAUUCUUGCCUGCAACCAUUUAGGGAAAAAAUUUAUGGUUUUAGCAUGUGUUGUAUAAACAUUUGACCAAUUAAUUAAGCUAUUAACAAAAGAAACAUUUAAGUAAACAGAUUAUCUCACCAUAAAGCCAACAAAGUUAUCAGUAGAUUAAUCUGUUCUAAAUUAGAAACCCUUAAUGUUUUAAGUACAUAAAUACAAAGUUAAAUUUUGACAAAACAACAAAUUGUGGCAAUCACUUAAUGAAAUAAAUUCUGAUAAUAAAUGGAACAUUCCCAUCAGUGACUAAAAUGACAUUAAGAGCAUAAUAUUCUACUUCAGUUUUUUACAUUGUCUAAUUUUCUGUGUGAAAAAUAUUGAAAAGAAUCAGGUUUAAAUACGGUUAUCCAGUGUACAACAUACCUUUGACUAUAGGAGUGUGUGUGUGUGUGAGUAUGUUCCCAGGCACUCUAUUUUAUUGGUCUAUACUUCUACCCCUGUACCAAUAUCACACUGUCUGAAAUACUGAUACUUUUUAUUAAGUCCAGAUAUUUGAAGUAUAAAUCCUCUUACUUUGUUUAUCUUUUUGAAUUGAGAUUAUCAAAAAAAAUUUUUUUUUCUCUUUAUUGUGAUGAAUUAUGCUGUUUUUUUUAAUGUUUGAACGCAUUCCUGAAAUAAAUGUACUUGGCCGUAAUGUAUGUUGAUUUUACAUAACACAGGAUUCACUCUUCUAUAUAUUAAGGAAUAUAUAUGUUAAACAGAGUGAUUGGCCUCAGCCCUCCUGUCUUGGUAUUACUCUUAUUAAAUUUUGGUAUCAAGAUGAUGCUGUCCUUUUAUUAUUUCAGAAAGUUAAUAAAAUAUUGACGUUAUCUCUACUUUUCAAUAUUUGUAGAAUUCACUAGUACAGCCCCCUGGACUUGGAGUUGUCUUUGAGGAAGUUACUAAGGAUGGAUUUAAUGUAUUUAAUCAAUGCAGAUAUAUAUGUAUUAUCACAUCUAUUUUACUAAGUUGUGUUUUUUUAGAAACAUUUUCAUUUAACCUGAAUUUUCAAAAUUACUGGCAUAAAAUACUUUUAUUUAUCCAAAAUAUUGGCAUAAAAUAUAUUUAUGCCUAACAUUAUUGCCAGUAAAGAUGUAAUUGGUGUUGAGACUCUAACAAUGUCUCUCUUUCUUAUAAUAUUGGCUAUGUGUGCUUUUUCUCAUUUUAUUUGUUUUGUAGAUUAAUCUUGGUAGAGAGUAGCCAAUUUCAAAGAACACACUUCUGGCAUUGUUGAUAGUUGCCAUCCUAUGUUUAUUUUCUACUCCAUUAGCUUCUGUUCUUAUUUUUAUGAUUUUCAUCUUUUCACUUUCUUUGGGCUUAAUUUACUCUCCUGCUUCUAGGCUGUUUAAUCUAACAUAAGCUCUCAAGAUUGUAAACUUCUAAGAAUAAAUUUAGCUAUGCACAAAAAGUUCUUCCUCAUCAUCUAUUCAAAAUAUUUUCUAAUUUCUUUUGUGAUUUUUUUGUUUGUUUGGCCCAAGAUUAUUCAGAACUGUACAGGGACUUCCUGGUUAUCUUUUAUAUUAUAAAAUACUAUAAAAGCUCAAAUCAAACUUAUUCAAAGAAUCUUCUGUUUGCUUCUGAUUCUUGAAAUUUAUUCACUUAGCCUGCAUAGCCCAGCAUAUGGUCAAUUUUAGAAAUGUUCUCAUGACCCCAGAAAAUGUGUUCUGUAUAUGUGAAUACACACACACACACACACACACACACACACACACACACUUACACAUUUUUGUAGUGAAUAAAGAAUAGGAGCAAUUAAAUAAAUCAUAUCUAUAAUGCAUAUACAUUUUUUCUUAAAAAAUAUUUGGAGAUUUUUUUUGCAUCCUCCUUUUAUCUAUAUCAUGAUACAAAGUUAAUAAAACUAAAACCAUGUAUAACAUGGCAGCCAAUAUUAAUGCUAUGAUAAAGAAAGUUCUGAAAAGUUUUUGAAAAGAUCAUGCUGUUCUGUAUAUUAAGAACAUGGGAAAAAAUGUACUGAACAUUUUUAGAACCCAUUUGAUAUUCUUGGAUGCUGUAUUUAGAAGCAAACUAGAAGCUUUCUGGGUUAAUUACUUCUUACAAUUAAGCUGUUAAAAAUAUCUUAGGGAGGAUACAGCUUCUAGGAAGUUAUUCAUUAAAUGAUAAAAAUAAAAAGCACAACUACUUUUCUCCAAUCAAUCUUUAAAUUUUAAUGUUUGGAAAAAUAUUUCAUACUGUUUUGUGAUAUUGAAAUAGUAUUAGCAAUUAUUCACUAAGACUUUGUUAAUGAACAAAUUUCCCAUAUUUCAUUAAGCAAAGGAAACCCAUUAAGCCAUCAAACAUAUUUAUUUGGCUGUUGAUUAUAGCUAUAAUAACUGAAAAGAUAGUAUAUAUACAAUACAUACAUAUUCAUGAAUCACUGAAUAAAGCCACUAAGAUCUUUGAAAUUUACUGUUAAAUUUUGUUUUUAAAAAUAAUCAACAGGGUAAUCAUAUUUAAUUUUAUGUUUUUAUAAUUAUAUCAAUAAAAUAUGCGUCAAUAAUUAUACAUCUAAAUUAAAUUUUUCUGAUGUGCAUAAUUUCUCUUAUGUGACUACAUAACAUAUUGUUGGAUAUUUAGUUUCUAAGAUUUUAAAGUGAUAAAUGCGUACAUGAUACUAAUUUAUGAGGUCAUAUCACUCUUAUUUAAUCUUAGGAAACGUUCCCAGAAGUAAAUGUUUAGUUUUAUAUUUCUACUCAUAUAAGAUCUAUUAGUAUUUUCAAUAUAUUCUCUGAAUGAAAAUCCUUCCCAACAAAGAAAUAAAUAUUUGCCUAUAUUUUAUGUUUAUACAUGGAUUUGAAGGUCACUAAUAUUCACAAUAAUAUUUCAUGUAUAUAGUAUUUCUUCAUUUCGUAUUUUAUAGCUCUUCAGUGUACUUGAUUCCGAGUAUAUUUCUUUAAUUACUCUAGUGGGACAAUUUAUUUUAAUAUUUGGUAUACCAAGUAUUCUCUGUUUGAACUCUUCUUAAAAGAUUUUUUGACACUUCAGCCUGUUUAUCAUUAAGAAUCUAUUUUUUAUUCCAAAUGUUGUCCGUGGCAUUUUUAAUCAAGACAAUACAAUAACAAUAACAAAAGUUAUUCUACAUUCUAAAUUCUAAAAUGUAAAGGAAUACACAUGCCUGUAUACAUACACACAUGUACAUACAGGUGUGCAUAUACACCUGCAUAUAUGUAUCUAAAAUACAUAUGCAUAUGUAUUUACAUAUUUAUAUUACAAAUUAGAAUAUUUUAUCCAAAUGAGAAGAACAUUUUUUUUUCUUCCUUUAAAGAUCUGUAUUUAGUCCAUAUUCAACAGUGGUGUUUACUCUUAUGGAUCUGACUAGAGAAUAAUGAAAAAGUGUGAUAUAAAAUACAUAUUAAUUCAAUACACAAUGGUUCUAAGUUGUGCAAUACAGACCACACACAAAUACAGAGUAGAAAUAUUCCAGAACUGACCUCUGUGUGAUUAUGAUGAUUACGAGAGGAAGAGUGAAGAAUAAGAGAUAUUACAGUGUGAGAUUUUGAGAGAUGGUGAAGGCUAGAAGCGAAAUGAAUAAAGUGGAGUUUUAAGGGCUUUGUCUGUCUAUAGUUGAGAAUGAGAGUUCAGUUCAAUACCAGAUCUUUAAGCUUCACUACUUUAAGCAUGUGGAACAUGCUAUUCUGUAUGGAGAUUAUAGUUCAUGCACUACAAUGUCAACAGUAUGAGGAGACAGAGGCCUUUGUUAUGUUACUGCUGUAUCCUCAUACGUACAACAGGGCCUUGUAUGUUGCAAACACUACAGUAUGUGUUGAAUAAUGAGCAGUUUUACAAGACACUAUCUGAAAUAAAAGAGGUGCUUAACGAAUGACAGCAUUUUUCUUUUGAAGAUAGCAUGUACUUUACUCUAUUUAUUAGAAGAUAUUUCAUAAAAUGCUGAAAAUAUCAAAGAGGAAAAAGGCACAAUAACCCGCAUUUAUCAGAAGGAACCAUUAUAACUGUAUUGUAAUUUAAAACUGUCAUUUCAUUACAGAAUGUUCCCUGAAGUUGGGAAUGUAACAUAUAAACUCUUUUGGAGUUUGCCUUCUUUGUUAAUUUAAUAACAUAAGACAUUUAUGUAUGUUAAUGUUAUUCCAAACUAUUAACUUUCAUGAAUGUAUAGUAAUAGUUCAUAUGUUUGUACUUUAUUUCUAAAAUGUUCAAUCAUUGGUAUUUGGGAAUCUUUGUAUUUUCACUCUUUUCUGUAAAACUAAAAUAUAUGACCGUUUCAUGCAUCUUGAUACACACAUCAAUGUAUUUUCUUAGGAAAAUUUCUAGAAGUUAAUUUGCGGUAUAUAAGCUUUCUCAACAUUUCCAUUAUAUAUUGCUAAAUUUUCUUCAAAAUUUUUUCUCAAUCUACUGUGUCUGUGAUGGUUAGUUUUGUGUGGCAAUUUAGCUAGGCUACAGUCUCCUGUUAUUCAAACACUAAUCUAGGUGUUGCUGUUAAGGCAUUUUGUAGGUGUGGUUAACAUCUACAAGCAGUUGACUUUAAGUAAAGGAGAUGACCCUUCAAAAUUUGAGUAGACCUCAUUCAUCAACUGAAAGGCUUUACAAGCAAAACUGAAGUUCCCUUGAAGAAAUUCCACCUGUGGAUUGUAGCAUUAGCCCCCACCCAGAGGUUUCCAGUCUGCAGACCUGCCCCUCAGACUUUGUACUUAUCCAGACAGAUGCCACGAUCAUAUAAGCCAAUUCCUUGAAAUAAAUCUCUUAAUAUAUAUCUUCUGCUGAAUCUGUUUAUUUGGUAAAGUUCUGACUGAUACUGAUUUUGAUAACUACAGUACUGAGAAUACAGAGCUAUCAUUUGACCCAACGUAUAGGAAGAUCUUUUAUAUUAUCUUCUAAUCACAUCAGUGAAACAGUAUUAAUGUUAACAGAGUAUGGAAUUUGAUUCUUUAAUUGGAGCUGGACCUGAUAAUAGUUUUUGUUAAAAUGUCAAGACCUGUCUCUCUUAAUUUGUGUUAGCCACAUUAAUUCCUUAAAAAGGUUUUCUGCAUGAAUAGUAACAUAUCAGGUGACUGGCUUUUGAUUAUCAACUCUAAGCUAUAGACCUGCCAUCACCUGAAUAAACAAACAGAAGAACUCAAGAGUAUUAGGGAAAGAUUCAUAUAUGAUGGUAGGAGACUAAUUAUAAAUAUAUCACAUUGGUGGCUUUUCUUUAAAAUUUAUUAUGGUUUUUAUUAUUGUAGUACAAUUUCUAUUCAUUGUCUCAGAGGGGAAACUUCUUCACCAUCAAGAACACUAUUUCCUAUAUACUAAUUCUGUAGGCUUUCACCUUUGGAUAAGUAUGGGAAUUUUUCUUUCAUACUUAAAAUUCUGCAUUGGUUAUUCUUGUUUUCAAAGCUAUUAUCAUUUCUGAAAUAAAUUACCCAUUGUAAAUGAAUACAUGGAUGGCAUAUUAUCUUUUCUCAUACACCUAUUCCAGAGAGCUGGCAGCUAAGCUGAAGAAAGAUGAAAGUAAGUAAAUGUCCAUUAUAACAAUGUAGACCAUCAUGUGUUCUUUGCCGAAAAUGCAAUUCUAAUAUUUCAUCUAGCAGGAUUGUUACUUUAUUCAAGAGACACACUUUUUAACAGCAGUCAUAUCUUUCCCCUUAGGCUUAUUAGAGUGGAGGCAAUGCUGUUCUGAUUGUGUCCGAUUGAAUCUAACAGGAAUUGACUGAACAUAAGAAAACAGUCUUACAACAUUAUUGUUUAGCAUUUGCUGAUGAUACAGUUUGCCUAGCACACCAUGCAGUGUAAAAUUUUUCCAUCAAGGCUUUGUAAUGCUUUCUCUAAAAUCAGCACACGGGGUGCUUUAAAGGUCAAAUGAGUAGAACAAAUAUUUUUUUGCAUAAUUAUAAAUAUACAUUGAACUCUUUUCAGGACUCCUGGUGUUUGAACUACGUGUAAUUAUUCUUCUCCCAAACUUGCAGUGAUUGCUCAUAUUUGUCAUUUGUAUUCACAUAAUAGUAAUCAUUAACAACUCUCCACCAAUUAGAACCUGAAAGAAAAGUUUAGUGGGCCAUAAAUUCUAUUCAUUACAUUUAGGUAGUCAGGGUAGAUGCCAGGAAAGGUCAAAUAACUAUGCUGAACACAAUAGAGAUGUGGGUGACUGACUGUUUUAUUAUUUGCAUGCCUAUCAUCAUACAGCAACAAUUUCUAAGCUUCCACAUGUCUUAGCAAAGCCUAGAAGGAAUACAUGGAAUAGGCCAAUCUUACACAUAUAUGAUCAAAAAGACAGCAAAUAGUAAAAUUCCAUUAUGUUGGGUAUUAACUCUCUCAUCUGAUUAUUCUUCAGUGUUAUAAAAGUCAUUGUUUAAAAUUACUGACUUCCAUCUUUAAGAAAGCAGUUUUUAAUUGCCAGUGAUAAACCUCACUAUAGAACAUGUACAUGUGUGUAUUUUCCUUAUUAACUGCCUAUCAUAUUUAUACUGAAAACACCAUUGGGGUGCCUAGGUGGCUCAGUCGGUUAAGUCUGACUUCUGAUUUUGGCUCAGGUCACCAUCCCAGGGUCGUGAGAUUGAGCUCCACACAGGGCCCGUGCUGAGCGUGGAGUCUGCUUGAGAUUCUCUCUCCUUCUUACUCUCCCCUCUCUCCCUCCCUCCUUUCCUGUCCCUCUCUCUCAACAUAAAAUCUAAAAGAAAAUCAAAAAACACCAUUAAUUUAUUUAAUCAGCCAUAAACAUAUAAAGAAAUUACUAUAAAAUCAAAACAAUUAUAUUUUCAGGGAGGAUUUAUAGCCCUAAACUGUCUAUUCACAAACAGAAAUAAAAGAUAGACCUCAAUUGAUAUAUUUGAUGCCAAUACACUAUUUUAUUGGUUUUAUUGGUUUAUUUUGAGAAAGAGAAAGAAAGAGAAGCUGAGAGAGAGGAGACAGAGAAUCCCAAGCAAGUUCUGCUCUGUCAGUGCAGAGCCCUACAUGGGGCUUAACUGACUAAGCCACCCAGGUGCCCUUCUAGGGUUAUUUUAUAUGCAUUUAACUUAGAAGAAAUUUAGUAAGUUCACUAUAAAAAUUGAUUUUUUAAAAGGAAAUUAAACAUAAAUAGGGGAUAUUUCUGUUAAGAAGGCCAAUUCAAUUCCUACCAUAUAUAUUCAGGUAGUUUCCACAGGUGACAUGGAAUUGCUCCCAGCUUCCACUUUUCAUCCCAUCCUUGAAAAAAAGUAAGUUAAAUUCUUGAUUUAAAACUUUGAUGGUAGGGGUGCCUAGGUGGCUCAGUCAGUUAAGUGUCUGUCUCUUGAUUUUGGCUCAGGUCAUGAUAUUGAGCCCUGUGUUGGGCUCUGCACUGACAGUGCAGAGCCUGCUUGGGAUUCUCUCUCUCCCUCUCUUUCCCUCCACCCUUCUUCUGCUUGCCCACUCCCGCAAGUGUUCUCUUUCUCUCAAAGUAAAUAAAUAAACAUCAAAGAAAAAAAAAAAACUUUGGAUAGUAGGUCACUAUCAAAAAAUUAAGUCUAAAAAUCUUCACUUGAAAUUUAAACCAAGAGAAACCUGCCUAGGUUUCUCUUCUAUCCACUUAAAUGCUGCUAAUACUUAAGAACGUACUUAAGCUUCACUUAUUACCUAAAAUGCUACCAAUAUUUUCAGUAUUAAUGAUCUCUUAACCAUCUAAUACCACCAACAGCAUGCCAUUCAUUUUUGCAUUCAAUUACGUAGGGUUUUCUUGUGUUAUAUAACUGCUUUGUGUCUCCAGUGAAAAAAUAGCCCUUCAAUUGGCAGAGUUAUGAUUUGUCCAUCUUUAGCUUUUUAAUAAAACUAAGGCAUUGGCCUACUGACCUCGAAAAACCAAUUUUGCAUUUUAGUUUAUAACAACAACUAUGUUCCUAGAAAUACAUCAACUAUUCCCUUAACAAGCCCACAGGCUUCCAGGUGCUUAGAUACCACCUCCACUGUGACCACAGUCUGGCCCUGGUCUCCAUGUUAGGAUAGGAUUAUCUCUGUGCUCAUGGGACUUUCUACUGGCAAAGUAACGGUUGGCAUUCAUUGAGCCAUAGUUAGAUUUUCUAACAAUUAUGGGCAGCUGAGCAAAUAGUAGCUAAAAGCUCUGAAUUUAGUAUUGAAAAUAUCAUGCAAUUGAGUUGUUUUCUGGCGAGUUCUAAACUCAGUAUUAUACUAGUUAAUUUUUCUUUUGGGGUUCAUUCUUUGGGAACCUUGAGGACAUUUUUCUUUUCCUUUGUGUUCUUAUAUGGAAGAAAAGGGUUUCCACAUCAUGUCAUAAUUCUUCUCAAAGACUGUUCCCUGAUAAAAUUUCAGAUAUUCCCACUGGAUAAAUGGAUUUUUAAAAUAUAUUUUUGCAUUUGUAAUCGAGAUUAAAUAUCAGUGAGAUGGUUAAUAUCAUAUAUUAAUUAUAGUGGUUCUAAUUAAAUUAUAUUUCAGGACCUGUAAAACAAUACUCAAUUGAUAUUAGAUUAUUGAUAUUAUAUAUCUAAUUGAUAUUAGAUUAUUAGAUACUAAGAUCACUGAUUAAAUUUAAUUAGGAACAAUAUAUCCAAUUAUUAUCUUUAUCAUUAUGAGCAAUAAGCCACUUCUAGUCACAAUUCCUUGAGAUGAAAUAUCUACUUUAGAAAAGAACACUAACUGGGGUGCCUGGUGGCUCAGUUGGUUAGGCGACUGACUUCGGCCCAGGUCAUGAUCUCACAGUUUGUGAGUUCGAGUCCCGUGUUGGGCUCUGUGCUGACAGCUCAGAGCCUGAAGCCUACUUCAGAUUCUGUGUCUCCCCCUGUCUCUACCCCUCCCCUGCUCACGCUGUGUCUCUCUGUCUCUCAGUAAUAAAUAAACAUUAAAAAAUUGAAAAAAAAACACUAAUAAAAUCUCAUAAAUUAAUUUAGUACAUUUUAGACCUUACAUUUGAUAAAAUUAUAUAAAUAUUUUAAACAUGAUAUUCAUAAUUUCUGAAUAUUCACAGAAUACAUUUAAAUUUUUAUUUUUCUAAAGCAUUAAAAGGAUAAAGUAAACCAGCAGAAUAAUUGUGAAAUACAAUUUUUUAGUUUUUAAGAGAUUCAUAUAGUAGUACCUUAAUUUCUACCAUGGGCAAUCCCUCAUUUGGUUGUUUUGUGACUUCCUUCAAAACAAUUCAAGAAAAUACCAGACAUGGAAGUGAUAGAGGAAGUCUGAUUAUUCAAAGAAAUAAGGGGAGGAUCAAAAAGCACACAGAAACAUAUAAAGUGAUCUGGUGAUGAAAUCAUCCUCAGAGAACUCCCUUUCAUUCCUGAAUUUAAAAAUCUGCCCUUGGAGUUCCAAAGACAUUAGGAGCUAAUGGAUAGCUUACAGUACAAGUGUUUAUACUUAACAUUCUCUGUUGGGGUUGGUCAGCACAUCACAAUUUCAAAGAGUGCUAACGAUUUCGUAAUGAGAAUUUAGAGAGUAUGUCCCUAGUCAGAUUAUUUACAGAAUUAAGUUCCACAAAACUCAACAUACUGAUGAACACUUUCAGUUUAAUCUAGCCGCAGUUCCACAAUUACUAAUAAAGCCUAUUUGCCUUAGGAAAUGUUACUGGGGAUUCUGGAUUAUUCUGCUGUAUCACACUUCUUUUAUUUGGGAAGGGAGACAGUAAAUGAGGCACGGUAGCUACCUCAUACCACAUAUGCUGUUUGCUCACUUGAAUUUCAUUUUAGAAAUACCUACAUUACUUCUGUUCCCUAAUCCUUUUCUAAAUUACUUAAUGUAUAAACAUAUGAAUGUAAUAUCUACGCAUACAAAAUAUGUAUACACACACUUUUAAGAAAAAAAGAGAGAAAGCAUGGACUCUGGAGACAAAGAAUUCCUUUUGACUGUCAGCUUCGUCAUUUAUUAUCUAGGAGAUAUUUAGUCUUAAUUUAUCAUGCAGGUAUCUUUCAACAUUAUUACGUGUCAGGCAAGACAGUCCAUGGUAGGAUACAAGAUUGACAAAACAGCAUUAGUGACAUCUUUUGUAAUUCAAAUCUCAAGAGAGAAGAUAACAUAUAGUAAGCAUCAAAAUGCUUACAAGAGUUGUGGGCUGAUUUAAACUGAGAUCUCAGGGAACACAUUUUCAAGGAGGUAAGAUUUGACAUGGAAUCUGAAAAAUAAGUAGGAAUCAGUAGACCAGCAGAAUUAGGUAAGAAUGUGCUGGGCAGAGGCAACAUCAUAUGCAAAAGCCCCUGGAGGCAGGAGGGAUUUGAGUAAAUUGAAAGAAAACCUGGGGGUUGCUGGAGCACAAUCAUGUCCUGUGUGCUGGAAUGUUUGCAGGAAAAUGGGAUGAGACAAACAGGCAAGACUACUAACUUUUUUGAUACUCAAUUUCCAUAUCCAUAAAUGCAAUGUACAAGUAUGGUAAUGGUAAAAAUUAUGUCAAUCCACUCAUUUCUUGAUUGUUGAACAGAAAACGAGCAAUUAGCAAAAAAAAGUCAGACACUCUAUAAAUGUUAGGUUUUUUUGUUUGGUUGACUGAUUUUGUUUGGUGUCUUAGUCUCCUAUGUCUAACCUAACAAAAUACCACUGACUGGGGGACUUAACCAAAAUUUAUUUUCACACAGAUCUGGGGUUGGGAAUCUAAGAUCAGGGUAUUAGCCUAUUUUGUUUACCCUGAGAGCCCAAUCUUCUGCUUUUUCCUUGUAUCCUCACAUGGUCUUUCCUCUGUGCACACAUACUUCUGGCUGUCUCUUCGCCUUCUAGUAAGGACAUCAGUCAUACUUGAUUAGGGCCCAUCCACAUAACCACAUUUAACCAUAAUCCAGAUACAAUCACAUUCUAAGGUACUUGGGCUUAAGACUUGAACAUAGAUUUUGUAGGGACAUAGUACAUAAGUAUAUUUAUUCAGACUGUUGUUAAACUGGAUGUCUGUUUCUCUCUUUCAUUCCAGGUUAGACAAUCUUAAACUCACUCUUUCCCUGGAAGUGUUUAACCUGUAACUCUCUUGCUUUACCACCCGCUUCCCAUUUUAUGCUCCAUAUGCAGUUGUGUACUUCUGUCUUCAAAGUAUCAGGAUUCUAGUUGCUCUAAAUUUAUUGUUUAAAUCCAGGUCAUAAAAUGGAUAAGCCCAUAAUAAUAUUUGUAUAUGAUAUACACAAAAGAAUUCUUGUUUUUCUCAAGUUAGAUUUAAAUUAUACAUAAUUGAGAAAAUAAGAAGUAUAUUUACCAUAUAACAACAGAUUACAUGAACUAAGGAUAAUACUGAUAGAAUAAGAAUAUUAUAAAACAAUGGAGUAGGUAAUUAUAAUAGAAGUGGUAUUAUUAUCAACAGUUAGAAAACUGAGUCAAAGCAAAAAAAAACUAAAGGACACAAAACUGAGAAAAAUAAUGUUGAAUGAACUACAGAAAAUACAGUAUUCAAUGGAAAUCUGUUGAAAUGCAGAGAUCUAGCUCAUCUAGACAUUUAUUACCACCAUAUAUUUUAGGUGAAACGUAUUCAUACUUUCUUUAUUUACCCAUAUUAGAUAUACUAAGUGUUCUAUAUUGAAUUAUCUUGUUUACUCUAAACGUUAUUAUUAUCCCCAUUCUACUUCUGAAAUAAUCAGGGUUCAGAGGCUUGAACAGAGCAAACAACUUGUCCAAAUCCACUGCUAAUGGUUCCAGAGCUGGGAUUUCUUAAUCUCUGAUUCCAAAACCCUACUGCUUUCUUUGACUUCCUCUGAUAUACCAAGGGGAGAAAUAGACAGGCAAGCCAUCAUAUAGAUGUUAAGUUGUAAUGGUUAACCUCUGCAAUGUGUACGUCUGCCCAAGAGACUAGUUAUAAUGAAUUAUAGGAAAUUCAUGGAAAUCAAAGGAUAAUAUAUUUGAGAAUGGCUGAUGAAUGUUCACUUCUAUCAAAAACACACAUACAUGCAUGGCCACACACAUACACACAGAACAAUAAAGUUUCAUGAGCAAUUGGGUUCCAUCAUCCAUCACUUGGAGUCAGACAAAAGCUGCUCUGGGAAGACUUGUUUAGGCAAACCCAGUACAGCAUUAAAUCCAUCAUCACUAUGACAUCUAUAUUUAUAGGGUCUCAAAUUGCAGCAACUUUAGACUCAGAAAUCACACUUAUGACCAUUCUUUCAGAUAGCUUGAAGAUGGACAAUAAAAUUGAAAAGGAAAUUGAUGAUCUGAACCAUAAAAUUUUAGCUUUCAGUUAUAUCAGCUGCAUAUAGCCAAACUCACAAACACUGGUUUGUUCUUAAAGUGUUCUUUGAAUUGACUCCUACAGAAAGGCUUCAACAGUUAUCAUAGAAGAUAAUAUUUAAAAUAGCAAAAUGGAGAUGCUGGAACAUUCUGACAUACUUGGUGCUGAAAGAGAGGUAUAGGUUCUAAUGCCUCAUGUGAGAUGUUAAGCCAAAUUCAGUAGUACAGAAAUGUAAAUUGUUUUCAAUUUGUUUUUUAUAUGCUGUUUUUAAAAAUUAGAUAAAAACAACUUCAACUUUAAAUAUAACUAUAUGGUAUAAACAUAUAAAUACAUUUGUACACACUCAUCACAUAAUUUUUUAAAAAGUAAUAGAUAACAGAGUUUUAACAUAAAUUACCUUUGGAAUAUGAUUUCUGCUCUAAUCAUUUGUAUUAAGAAGUUUUAUGGAAGAGCAAAUAGAGAAUAGAGAAUAAAAAUAUUUUCUCAUUAUUGUGUCUGGAACAUAAUGCUUUACAGUUCAAGAACUAUAGGAUCUAAAGAUAUAAAACAUAAAUCGUAACUGCUUUAUAAGAGAAAAGAAAUGGAGAAACUUACAACUAUGUAGAUUAGUCUACCUUUUCUAUAAACUAAGUAAUCUGGGUAUUAUAAUCUGGAUAUAGCAGUAAGUAUGUUUCUAUAACUUUUGUAAGUGGAAUGCUUAACGGAGGGGUGGUCUUUAGUAUGUCUGAGGGUGUAAUGAUUCAAAGACUUGAGCCCAAGCAUGGGCGCAGGGACAAUGUAAAUUCCAAGACAGAGUGUUCUUCUAAUGCCAAGUUAGUCCCUUGCUGAAAUCCCCAUGCAGCAUAUAUUCAUUUCUCUGUGACAGUAAAUAGAAUUUAUAACACAAGAAUUUGUGCCGUGAGGUACAGAGAAUUGGGAAAUUCUGAAACUUUAGUUGUGCCAUCCUUCAUAGCACAACACAGAGGGUUUCCCUGUUCCUUUCUCCUUUCAGAAAAAACCUGGAAGUUUAAUCUGAUAAAACACGGAAUGAAUUCUAUCAGGAGGGAGAUGGAGAGAGUUUGGGCAAACAACAGAAUCUUGGAAAGAAGUGGUCACAAACAGACUGCACCAUUAGUUACUGGGCUUUGGUUGAAUAAACUGCACUAAUACCGUAUUUUGAAAACUGAGAUCUGAAAAAAUACUCCCAUUGUUAUUUGUGACUGUGUUGGCCUAUUAUAGUAAAAAGAAAACAAAAUGAGGUCUUAACAAAGGUAGAAGAUACAUGGUCGUUAUUGAGAAUAGCUGAAAAGAUAACUGUCCACUAUCAUAGUUUUGUGCUGCUGGCUCUGUAGGGUCUUAAGUGUAUUUAUGUACAUUCUGAUGAGCUUGCAUUUUUAAAAAUGGCAUGUACUAUGCAACUGCUCUUGGUGAGCAUUCAUUUUGGGGACAAAAGAGGGAAAUGCAAGUUCAUUUGUUUGGGUCUAAGAUUUCAUUUUAGAUAGCCUGGUAUUUAGAAAAUCCAGCACUGUCCUUUUAGAGUAACAAAUGAUUCCUCAUUAAGGAGGGAGCCACAGAUGCAUCACUAUUGGAACAAUCACAAAUUCCCAAACUACGCAUUCAUAAACUCUUAAGAAUUUGUUAACCCGAAUAAAUGAAGAUUCAGUGUAUAACUUAACAUGACAAGACCCACGAGUCUGUGAACUGGCAAAACACUCUGGGGUCCUGGCUAACAUUUUCUCUUUGACUCGAAAAGUUAUAUUCUCUGUUUGGGAACAUUCUAUGAUGGCUGAUAGAAAUUCAAGUAUAAAAAAAAAAAUCUGAUUCAUCAUGCUUUCUUACCAUGGAAUAAAAGUGAAUUCCCAAAAAUGUAUCAAAGAUUGAAUGUAAUUUGUACUAUAUCUCGUUUUAAAGGCUUUAUUAAUUGGAAAUAAGAGUCUCGUUGCUAACCUGUCACUAUUGGAAUUUCUACGUCCAAUGAGCCUUUUACUUCAACUCAAGCAAGAACAGCAAGUGGUCUCUGAGGGGAAGAGGAAGCUAAUAAUCACUGUCAUUGUAAGACAAUUUUUAGUUUGAUUUAAAUAGAAACAAAACUUUAUAUUAUGUGGUUUUAAGCCAUGGCCUGUCUCUUAUCAUCAUAUAGUAUAAUAUUUAAACUUAAAAAGACAAAGUCUUUUGUGUGUGUUGAUGGGGGGCAGGUUUCAUAUUAUUUUUACGAAACAUGGAAAAUUCUUUGUCUUUUAGAAUGAUGUGACAAAUAAAACACACUGAAUUUCACCAGCACAUAGAACAGACUGAAAUAUUACACACUCAGUGUGAUGUAGGUAUAUUGGUACUUCUUCCUUGUCUGUCUACUCCCUGCAACUAUGGUAAUAAGCUUAUUACUAUGUUAAUAAGCUUUCUGGCACUGUUCAGGGACAUUUUCUUCUCUCAGACAAAAUCUAUGACUUUUAUUUUAACUGAAAAAACAUUAGAUUUUUAGAAACUCAAACUUUCAAGUGGGCAGUAAUCUAUUUUUAAUCUUGAUUCUAUGCCAGCAUAAAGACUGAUGUGCUUUAAGAAAAAUAUUGACUGUCUUAAGUCUUUAAAAGCUAAAGAAUAAUGAGUCUACAUAUUAGUGCACUCAAUGGGGAUAAGGAGGGAAGUAACUGAAAUUUAAUUUAUUUUUAAAUUAUUUCUAAAAGAGCAUCUUAGAGAAAAAAUAAUAGCACAAUAAAGGUAUGUCAAAAAAGACAUGAAAAAGUUCAACUUGGGGAGAAUAGAGGAAAUAACUGUGAGACUAUCUCACACCUCCUUUCCCUUCAAGUUUCUAUUUAAAAGACCACUGGAUGGGGGCACCUGGGUGGCUCAAUAGGUUAAGCAUCUGACUUCGGCUCAGGUCAUGAUCUCAUGGUUCGUGGGUUCGAACCCCGUGUUGGGCUCCGUGCUGACAGCUCAGAGCCUGGAGCGUGCUUCAGAUUCGGUGUCUCACUCUCUCUCUGCCCCUCCCUGGCUCACACACUCUCUCUCAAAAAUAAAUAAACAUCAAAUAUAUAUGUAAAUAAUAAAAAAAUAAAAGACCACUGAAUUUUGGUGAGUGAGAGCCAGUGGGUCCCCUACAGCACCCCAAAUGCAGGGCUACAUUUUACUUUUCAACAGUAUUAUACUUGCUAUUGUUUCCUGUUUCCCACUUCAUCAACUAUUUUUCUCUGUAGUAUAUUAUUCUCAGCUGCUUACAAGCAUGCUUUAGUAUCUUUGAUCUUAAAAAAGAGAAAAUAUCUUCCUUGACCAUUCUUCUCCUCCACACAGUUCUUUAGUUUGAGACUUCCCUCUAUAACAAAAUUCCCUAAGAACUGUUUAUAUUAGCUGUUUCUAAUUGUUUCCUGCUCACUCUGUCUUUACCAACUCCAUUAGGCUUUCAUGAAAUUACCUUUGUCAAGCUUAUUUUUUUUCUCCCACACUGACAAUCGAAUGGCCAUUUCUGAUUCCCCAUCUUACUCAAUAGCUGCAGCAUAUGCCUUAGAUGACAUCUUUCCUCCUUGAAAUACUUUCUUUAUUCUCUACACCCAAUUUUCUCUUGUUUUGGAUUCUACUUUCCUAGUAGCUCAUUAUCUCUCUCUCCUUUCUGGUUCUUCUUCAUUUUCCUGACCUUGAAAUGUUAGAGAGCUUUUAAAACAAAGCUGUCCAACUGAAAUUCUCUUUACCUGUGAGGAUCAACAUUUCAACCUGUGAAGAUUCAGCACUAGUCUUAUAGGAGCUUACAUUAGCUUUGUCUCUUGAAACACAUGCCAGUCAAACUGAGAAUCUGGCUGUCCAGGAUAGUGAGGGAUGUUCUUGGUGAUAGCAUGAGUAUCAACCAUAUACUUUGUCCCAGUGAAAACCCUUUCCUUGUUAAUUCAGAUCUCUAGCACAGAAAAAAAAAAAUCAGCAGUGAGUACCAAUGACAGCAGCUCUCAGCAUGCUGGGCAAGGCUGCUAUUUCUGCUAUUUGUGCUUCUUGUUUUCUCCCUUGGUCUGGGUUUGGAAUCUUCUCUACCCAAUCACCUCCAUGAAAGAAACUGUAAGUUAAAGCAAGAACAAGUCCUCAUCUCCUUCCACAUCUGCUGUCUCUCCUCUGCCAAAACAGAGUACAACUUCUCUUUGAUUACAAACCAAAACUGGUCAAACAUAAACCUCCACCUACCAAGAAUAGGACAACAAAACCAAAAAUGUUUAUGGUACCCAUAAAGAAAGAUUACAGUUCCCAAUUUAAAUUGAGGAUAUAAAUUAGAACAUCUAGUGCCUGAAGAUACAAAAAUAAAGUUUUUUUUUAAUAGAAGAAAAUAAUUAUAAAAAUGUUAACAGAGUUUACAAACACAUUUAUAAACUUGACCAAGUAGUCAAAGGAAACAGUUUCAUAUAAAGCAAGCUGAAGGAAAAUGACAUAAUAUGAUGAGUAAAAUAAAACUAUGAUGAAAAUGUUUACAGAAGUAUAUCUAUCUAUAAAGCUAUCCUUUGAGAACCUGUUCACAAUGGGUGAAAUAUGAUUCAGCAGACAGAAAUUCAAAAUGAGAAAAUUACUGCUAAUGAAAUUUCAAGUUAGAAAAAUAUACAAAAAUGUCUAAAUAAUUAUAUUAAAUAUAGCUAAAUAUUGAAUACAAAAUGUUACGUUUUAAGGAGAAAAUCUAUGUUGUAAAAUCAAUAAGUGGUUUUCAAUCUAAUAUUUAGAAAAUAAUGGAAAAACUAGUCGAGGGCAUACAAUGCUAAACACUGAAUCUUGUUCAAAGAGCAGCUGAAAAUCAUAGUUAUGUUCUUAUUACAGCCAAAACGACAGAUUUAAAUUUUUAUAAAAACAUUAAUAUAACUUUUCACAAAAUUAAAAGAGGAGGUCUAGCUUCAAAGUUAGUGACAAAACAAUUAUAACAUAGCACAGUAGAGAAGGAAAAUGUUAUAAAUCCAUAAAGCAUAAAAUUUCAGCAAUAAAAACAUUGAAAUUAUUGAAAUAAGGUUAAGGUUUUUCUAAUAGUUUAAAUUUGACAUAUGUGAGACCCAAUGACUCAGAAGUGAGCAGACAAAGUGAUCAGACAAAUGUAAACCAAAAAAUAAGAUCAGGGACUAGCUAGCCUUCAAUAGCAAUAUAAGUUCAAAACACAGAAUACAAUGACUUAUAAAAGUCACAAAGCAAUACAUAUACGUAAAAUAAUGAACAUGUAAAAUAAAAUCCAUUAGAAAUCAAAGUAGGGAAUUUAGCACAUCGUUACUAAAUUAUACUAAUUAUAAAAUAACCGGUUGGAAAAAAACAGAUUUGAAAAAUAUGGUUACUAAAAUGCAAUGAAAAGAUGUCAGAAUUUUCCCUAUAUAUGGAGCAAUUCUGAUUUUCUAAUGUCCACAGAAUAUUUUAUAUUUAUUUUUAUAUUUUGCAAGCAAGAUCAUUUCAGUAAAUUCUCCUAAGAGCACACAAAAGAUACCAUUAUUUGACAAUAAAAUAGGUCUAGAAUAAAAAAAGAAGUUUUAAAAAAAAUGCUGAAGUAGCAUAUUAAAGUUAAUAGGUGAUGUGUAUUUAGGAGGGCUCUUGUGAUGAGCACCAGGUGUUGUAUGUAAGUGAUGAAUCACUAAAUUCUAUACCUGAAACUAAAAUAAAAUAAAAACAAAAAAAAAAUUAGUUGUUUUUUUAAAUUAAAAAAAUUUCCCUCAAAGAAUUUAUAAAGAAAGAGGGCUCAGACUUAGGCUUGGGGAACACUGAAAGGUAUUUGUCAACAUUCAUUCAUCCAAUGUUGUGCCUACCUAAUGGUGCUGGGUGGAUGUUGAAGGUUGUUGGAGAUGUGUGGUAGGGUGAAAAAAUGGAAAAAAGAAGAGAAAGCAUCAGAAAAGCUGAUGGGGUUGAGGAUGGGGACACUGAUGUUCAAAGAUGGUAGAAGUUGACGUCUAGUAAGAACCUCAUUUUGUUUUUUCUUUUUUGCCUGAAGAAUCUCAAACAUUUCAGCUGCUAAGCAUGUGCUGUAUUCUCCUGGUAGAAAUUAGCAUUGUCCCUAUAUCACAACUGGAUAGUCUCACAAAAGUAAUUUUUAUUACUAGUUCUGGUUAAAAAUGAAAGACUAGCCUUAUGCAA
rnacentral:lncRNA from 1 species